rnacentral:lncRNA from 1 species
GUUUUGCCAGACAAGCUGGGGCCGAGGGACGUCAGAGCACGUCCCAUAUCAAAAAGUAGAUAUUUCGCUGUAUAAACUAUGUUAAUAACGAAUAAUUACUAAAUAAUCAAUGUAAAUUAAUAUAUUUUCUUUCUAUUACUGGUGUUGUGAGGAAGGAAAUUAAAAAAAAAGUAACAAAAAUAUUGGGAUCUAUGUAAUUCAUAAAGUUCAAGAUCACAGAGUCAAAUGUUGUGUUAUUUCUUUGCAA